rfam:Loxodonta africana unplaced genomic scaffold scaffold_15, whole genome shotgun sequence.
GUGGGCUAUGGGGACAUGAAGCCUAUCACUGUUGGGGGCAAGAUCGUGGGCUCUCUGUGUGCCAUUGCUGGGGUCCUCACCAUCGCACUGCCAGUGCCCGUCAUUGUCUCCAAC